rnacentral:rRNA from 1 species
CAGCCGCCACGGUAAUACGAAGGGUGCAAGCGUUAAUCGGAAUUACUGGGCGUAAAGCGUGCGUAGGCGGUCUGUCAAGUCAGAUGUGAAAUCCCCGGGCUUAACCUGGGAACUGCAUUUGAAACUGGCAGGCUAGAGUCUUGUAGAGGGGGGUAGAAUUCAGGUGUAGCGGUGAAAUGCGUAGAGAUCUGGAGGAAUACCGGUGGCGAAGGCAAUCCCCUGGACCUGUACUGACGCUCAUGCACGAAAGCGUGGGGAGCAAACAGGAUUAGAUACCCGCGUAGUCCCUGUCUCUUAUACA